UCCUGCCAGUAGUCAUAUGCUUGUCUCAAAGAUUAAGCCAUGCACGUCUAAGGAUAAAUAUUUUUAACCAUAAACCUGCGAAAGGCUCAUUAAAUCAGUAAUAAUCUAUUCUAUUAUUUAAUUCUAUUUGGAUAACUGUAGUAAUUCUAGAGCUAAUACAUGCAAAAAACCUGAACUUUACAGAACGGGUGUACUUAUUAGACAUUAAAACCGAUUACAAUUUAUUGUAUACUUAAAAUGAAUUAAAAUAAGUUUAUGAAUCGCAGAUCAUUUUGUGAUGAUAAGAAUGAAUUUCUGCCCUAUCAACUUUCGAUGGUAAUGUAGGGGAUUACCAUGGUGAUGACGGGUAACGGGGAAUUAGGGUUUGAUUCCGGAGAAAAGGCCUGAGAGACGGCCAUUACUUCUAAGGAAGGCAGCAGGCGCGUAAAUUACCCAAUCCUAAUACGGGGAGGUAGUGACAAGAAAUAUUGAUAUUGGACCCAAAGGGUACAAUGAUUGAAAUGAGAACAAUACAAAAAACUUAACGACUAACAAUUGGAGGGCAAGUCUGGUGCCAGCAGCCGCGGUAAUUCCAGCUCCAAGAGUGUAUAUUAAAGUUGUUGCGGUUAAAAAGCUCGUAGUUGGAUUUUAGUUUUAUGGAUUUUUUAAUAGUUGAUUAAUUUUAAAAAAUUAAUUAAUUAUUUUAAUUCAUAAUUCUUUAUUUUUAUAAGAAUGUCUUAAAAGCCGUUAAAAGUUUUUAAGAUUUAAUUUUUAUAAAUUGUUUACUUUGAAAAAAUUAGAGUGUUUAAAGCAGGCAUAUUUGUUCAUUUUAUGAAUAUUACAGCAUGGGAUAAUAAAAUAAGACAUUAGCCUUAUUUUGUUGGUUUUAAGGGUUAAUUGUAAUGAUUAAUAGGGAUAGUUGGGGUUACUUGUAUUUGGUCGCUAGGGGUGAAAUCCUAUGAUUGACCAAAGACAAACAAAUGCGAAAGCAUUUAACAAGGAUGUUUUCAUUAAUCAAGAACGAAAGUUGGGGGAUCGAAGAUGAUCAGAUACCGUCGUAGUCUCAACCAUAAACAAUGUCGACUUAGGAUUAGGAAAUAUUACAUGGAUGAUUUUCCUAGCACUAAAAGAGAAAUCGUUAAGUAUUCAGACUCCGGGGGGAGUAUGGUCGCAAGAGUGAAACUUAAAGGAAUUGACGGAAGGGCACCACCAGGAGUGGAAUCUGCGGCUUAAUUUGAC
rnacentral:rRNA from 1 species